UACAGAGGUCUCAAGCGUUGUUCGGAUUCAUUGGGCGUAAAGGGUGCGUAGGCGGUUCUUUAAGUCAGGGGUGAAAUCCUGGAGCUCAACUCCAGAACUGCCUUUGAUACUGAGGAUCUUGAGUUCGGGAGAGGUGAGUGGAACUGCGAGUGUAGAGGUGAAAUUCGUAGAUAUUCGCAAGAACACCAGUGGCGAAGGCGGCUCACUGGCCCGAUACUGACGCUGAGGCACGAAAGCGUGGGGAGCAAACAGG
rnacentral:rRNA from 1 species